UCGAGCGGACAGAUGGGAGCUUGCUCCCUGAUGUUAGCGGCGGACGGGUGAGUAACACGUGGGUAACCUGCCUGUAAGACUGGGAUAACUCCGGGAAACCGGGGCUAAUACCGGAUGGUUGUUUGAACCGCAUGGUUCAGACAUAAAAGGUGGCUUCGGCUACCACUUACAGAUGGACCCGCGGCGCAUUAGCUAGUUGGUGAGGUAACGGCUCACCAAGGCGACGAUGCGUAGCCGACCUGAGAGGGUGAUCGGCCACACUGGGACUGAGACACGGCCCAGACUCCUACGGGAGGCAGCAGUAGGGAAUCUUCCGCAAUGGACGAAAGUCUGACGGAGCAACGCCGCGUGAGUGAUGAAGGUUUUCGGAUCGUAAAGCUCUGUUGUUAGGGAAGAACAAGUGCCGUUCAAAUAGGGCGGCACCUUGACGGUACCUAACCAGAAAGCCACGGCUAACUACGUGCCAGCAGCCGCGGUAAUACGUAGGUGGCAAGCGUUGUCCGGAAUUAUUGGGCGUAAAGGGCUCGCAGGCGGUUUCUUAAGUCUGAUGUGAAAGCCCCCGGCUCAACCGGGGAGGGUCAUUGGAAACUGGGGAACUUGAGUGCAGAAGAGGAGAGUGGAAUUCCACGUGUAGCGGUGAAAUGCGUAGAGAUGUGGAGGAACACCAGUGGCGAAGGCGACUCUCUGGUCUGUAACUGACGCUGAGGAGCGAAAGCGUGGGGAGCGAACAGGAUUAGAUACCCUGGUAGUCCACGCCGUAAACGAUGAGUGCUAAGUGG
rnacentral:rRNA from 1 species